rnacentral:rRNA from 1 species
GUCGAACGCGCAGCAUUCUGUAGCAAUACAGGAUGUGGGCGCGUGGCGAACGGGUGCGUAACACGUGGAUAACCUUCCUUCAGGUGGGGAAUAACCCAGUGAAAAUUGGGCUAAUACCGCAUAACAAGACGAGGGCACAUGCUCAUGUCUUCAAAGGCGCAAGUCGCCAGAAGAGGGAUCCGCGGCCGAUUAGCUUGUUGGCGAGGUAAUGGCUCACCAAGGCAUUGAUCGGUAGCCGGACUGAGAGGUUGGCCGGCCACACUGGAACUGAGACACGGUCCAGACUCCUACGGGAGGCAGCAGUGGGGAAUCUUGCGCAAUGGACGAAAGUCUGACGCAGCAACGCCGCGUGGGGGAUGAAGCUUCUCGGAGUGUAAACCCCUUUCGACCCGGACGAAUGCCCGCAAGGGUUUGACGGUACGGGUAUAAGAAGCCCCGGCUAACUACGUGCCAGCAGCCGCGGUAAAACGUAGGGGGCCAGCGUUGCUCGGAAUUACUGGGCGUAAAGGGUCCGUAGGCGGUGCGGCAAGUCGGAAGUGAAAUCUCCGGGCUUAACUCGGAGGCUGCUUCCGAAACUGCCGUGCUAGAGGAUGAGAGAGGCAAGUGGAAUUGCGGGUGUAGCGGUGAAAUGCGUAGAUAUCCGCAGGAACAUCCGAGGCGAAAGCGGCUUGCUGGAUCAUUUCUGACGCUGAGGGACGAAAGCUAGGGGAGCAAACAGGAUUAGAUACCCUGGUAGUCCUAGCCCUAAACCAUCAUGACUUG